UGACCGCUGGCGGCGUGCCUAAUACAUGCACGUCGAGCGACCAGACGCGGAGCUUGCUCCUCUGACGUUAGCGGCGGACGGGUGAGUAACACGUGGAUAACCUACCUAUAAGACUGGGAUAACUUCGGGAAACCGGAGCUAAUACCGGAUAAUAUAUUGAACCGCAUGGUUCAAUAGUGAAAGACGGUUUUGCUGUCACUUAUAGAUGGAUCCGCGCCGCAUUAGCUAGUUGGUAAGGUAACGGCUUACCAAGGCAACGAUGCGUAGCCGACCUGAGAGGGUGAUCGGCCACACUGGAACUGAGACACGGUCCAGACUCCUACGGGAGGCAGCAGUAGGGAAUCUUCCGCAAUGGGCGAAAGCCUGACGGAGCAACGCCGCGUGAGUGAUGAAGGUCUUCGGAUCGUAAAACUCUGUUAUUAGGGAAGAACAAAUGUGUAAGUAACUAUGCACGUCUUGACGGUACCUAAUCAGAAAGCCACGGCUAACUACGUG
rnacentral:rRNA from 1 species